GUCUCCGUAGCUUAGUCGGUUUAACACCCGACUAUGGUGCGGUAGAACUCGGGUUCGAGCCCCGCUAAAGGCA